UUUCCCGUCUUGGAACACGGACCAAGGAGUCUAACAUCUAUGCGAGUGUUCGGGUGUCAAACCCCUACGCGUAAUGAAAGUGAACGGAGGUGGGAACCCGCAAGGGUGCACCAUCGACCGAUCCUGAUGUCUUCGGAUGGAUUUGAGUAAGAGCAUAGCUGUUGGGACCCGAAAGAUGGUGAACUAUGCCUGAAUAGGGAGAAGCCAGGGGAAACUCUGGUGGAGGUUCGUAGCGAUUCUGACGUGCAAAUCGAUCGUCAAAUUUGGGUAUAGGGGCGAAAGACUAAUCGAACUAUCUAGUAGCUGGUUCCUGCCGAAGUUUCCCUCAGGAUAGCAGUAACGUAUUCAGUUUUAUGAGGUAAAGCGAAUGAUUAGAGGCCUCAGGGG
rnacentral:rRNA from 1 species